AGAGAGUCCUCCUUGCAAGCCCUUUGAUGAACCAGUUCCUUCCACUCAUCGGCCUUUCGUAGGGCAGUUGUACCUGAGGAGAGAUAAAUACACUGAUGGAAGGACAGGAGUAUACUGAUGGUGGAUAGAGUAACGCAAGAUGAUUUGCAGAGUUUGCGGGAAUGGGUGUCUCCCAGAUGAACAUGCAAAUCCCAUCACUCAGCAUUGUUUUUCAGUCUUCUGUUACCUCUGCCUGGUUUAUCAGCCUUUAUUUUAUUACAAGACAUGAAGAGGAAUAAAACUAUCAUUUAUCUUAUCUGUUUAUUUGUAUGUGUUUCAGUGAUUGACAGUUUUGUGCAUUAAAUUGUGUAUGUUUGG